GAUGAACGCUGGCGGCGUGCCUAAUACAUGCAAGUCGAACGGAGAGUCUUUGUAGCAAUACGAGGGCUUCUUAGUGGCGAACGGGUGAGUAACGCGUUGGUGACCUGCCCCAAAGUGUGGGAUAACAGUCCGAAAGGAUUGCUAAUACCGCAUGUGGUCCCCGGGUUAGAAACCGGUGACUAAAGCAGUAAUGCGCUUUGGGAGGGACCUGCGUCCCAUCAGCUAGUUGGUGAGGUAACGGCCCACCAAGGCUACGACGGGUAGGGGACCUGAGAGGGUGGCCCCCCACAAUUGAACUGAAACACGGUCCAUACACCUACGGGUGGCAGCAGUAGGGAAUAUUGCACAAUGGGCGAAAGCCUGAUGCAGCAACGCCGCGUGCGCGAAGAAGGUCUUCGGAUCGUAAAGCGCUUUUCUGGGAGAUGAGAAAGGACAGUAUCCCAGGAAUAAGUCUCGGCUAACUACGUGCCAGCAGCCGCAGUAAAAC
rnacentral:rRNA from 1 species